rnacentral:lncRNA from 1 species
GAGCGCGCGAGUCUCGGCCCGGGAAGCGAAAGUGAAAGGGCAGCGCAGGCGCUCGCGCGCGGGGGUGGGGAAGCGCAGAGCACGGAGAUGCUGAGAUGAUGCUCCUGCAUCGCCGUGACCACCUUGGUGCCUGGACGGGACUUUGCUGUCGGCGAUCGGCGAUUCGCGAUCGCUCGGAAAAAACUUGUGUGUGCAGAUGGCUACUGGAUAAGAAGGGACGCUGGGAGGGGUUAGGAUAGAAGAUGGAAGAUGGAAUCUGGCCCAGGGAAAGUCCUGCGGCGAGCCAUAAACACCUGGGAACCUCGCUACUAAAUGAGUGCACUUGCCUCAAGAAAACUAAAAUUAUGCCCGAGCCGACACAAGACCCUCCCUUCUCUCUCUCUCCUUCCUUCCUUCCUUCCUUCCUUUAAAAAGUGGUUUAUUAAGAAUGUGAUUCCUUUGACAAUAUAACUUAAGGAACCAAGAGUCGAAUGCUGCUACUACAGUCACUGAUACCACGACUGCAACAAUUAGAAAAGGACAUAGAAGAGUUUCACUGCUGGGUAGCCAAGGCAAAGGUAACAUCAACUUGGCCAGAUAGAAAUAACAGCACUAUGCAUCUCACAGGAAUGUGGAGAGAGUUCGAAGAUGCUAUGGAUGCCAUGCUCUGCACGUCCAGCGAUGCCAGGAUUAUUCUGGAGAAAACAUCUAUCCACUGGCCAUUCAGAUUUGCUUCCCAGCUGGUUCAGCCUAUGGCAAAUGAAGAGCUUGAAGAGUAAGAGUGACCUAGAACUACCUUUCAGCCUAGAACCCACUUCAAACAUGCAAAAUGUAUCCCUUGCUGGCAGGAGAACAGAAUGUGGCCCUAGCAGAGGUUACCCACUGCCACCCACUGGCACUACCUGUGUUUAGUGCACAACCUGGAGAUGCACAAGGUGUGCUUGGUGCCACUUACUAUAGCGGUUAUCCUUACCAGUCUGUGGCUCUGUCUCCACAUAUGGUGAUAACAAAGGCAUCACAAUGAGCAU